GGCGGGACACGUGGUAUCCUGUCUGAAUAUGGGGGGCCCAUCCUCCAAGGCUAAAUACUCCUGACUGACCGAUAGUGAACCAGUACCGUGAGGGAAAGGCGAAAAGAACCCCGGCGAGGGGAGUGAAAAAGAACCUGAAACCGUGUACGUACAAGCAGUGGGAGCACGCUUAGGCGUGUGACUGCGUACCUUUUGUAUAAUGGGUCAGCGACUUAUAUUCUGUAGCAAGGUUAACCGAAUAGGGGAGCCGAAGGGAAACCGAGUCUUAACUGGGCGUUAAGUUGCAGGGUAUAGACCCGAAACCCGGUGAUCUAGCCAUGGGCAGGUUGAAGGUUGGGUAACACUAACUGGAGGACCGAACCGACUAAUGUUGAAAAAUUAGCGGAUGACUUGUGGCUGGGGGUGAAAGGCCAAUCAAACCGGGAGAUAGCUGGUUCUCCCCGAAAGCUAUUUAGGUAGCGCCUCGUGAAUUCAUCUCCGGGGGUAGAGCACUGUUUCGGCAAGGGGGUCAUCCCGACUUACCAACCCGAUGCAAACUGCGAAUACCGGAGAAUGUUAUCACGGG
rnacentral:rRNA from 1 species